GACGUAGGGGGCAAGCGUUGUUCGGAAUUAUUGGGCGUAAAGCGCUCGUAGGCGGGACUGGAAGUCCGUGUUGAAAGACCUCGGCUCAACUGAGGGACCGGCUCGGAUACUCUAGUUCUUGAGGCAAUCAGAGGGUGAUGGAAUUCCCGGUGUAGCGGUGAAAUGCGCAGAUAUCAGGAAGAACACCAGUGGCGAAGGCGGCUCACUGGACUGGUAUUGACGCUGAGGUGCGAAAGCGUGGGGAGCAAACAGG
rnacentral:rRNA from 1 species